rnacentral:misc_RNA from 1 species
GAUGAAGAACGUAGCGAAAUGCGAUAAGUAAAGUGAAUUGCAGAAUUCAGUGAAUCAUCGAAUCUUUGAACGCACCUUGCGCCUUUUGGUAUUCCGAAAGGCACACCUGUUUGAGCGUCAUGAAUACCUCAAUCUCCAUCUUUUCUUCGGAUUGAUGGGUGACUUGGAUGUUGAGCCCUGCUGGUAUGCUAUAUCAGCUGGCUUUAAACUUAUUAGCCGGCUCUGUACUGGAUCGGUUUGACUCGACGUGAUAAUAUUAUCGUUGAGGAUGCAUGUCUCAUGCAGCCGGAAAGUAUCAAAGCAGCUUCUAGCUUGCCUUUAGUGCACUUUUACAUUUUAGACCUCAGAUCAGGUGGGACUACCCGCUGAACUUAAGCAUAUCAAUAAGCGGAGGA